UGCCUUAUGUUAUGACAUAGGGGACGAGGAUUGUUGUCAACUCCUGAAGGUAAUUAUUUACUAAUUCUUUCA
rnacentral:sRNA from 17 species